GAUAAACGCUGGCGGCGUGCCUAAUACAUGCAAGUCGAGCGAACGGACGAGAAGCUUGCUUCUCUGAUGUUAGCGGCGGACGGGUGAGUAACACGUGGAUAACCUACCUAUAAGACUGGGAUAACUUCGGGAAACCGGAGCUAAUACCGGAUAAUAUUUUGAACCGCAUGGUUCAAAAGUGAAAGACGGUCUUGCUGUCACUUAUAGAUGGAUCCGCGCUGCAUUAGCUAGUUGGUAAGGUAACGGCUUACCAAGGCAACGAUGCAUAGCCGACCUGAGAGGGUGAUCGGCCACACUGGAACUGAGACACGGUCCAGACUCCUACGGGAGGCAGCAGUAGGGAAUCUUCCGCAAUGGGCGAAAGCCUGACGGAGCAACGCCGCGUGAGUGAUGAAGGUCUUCGGAUCGUAAAACUCUGUUAUUAGGGAAGAACAUAUGUGUAAGUAACUGUGCGCAUCUUGACGGUACCUAAUCAGAAAGCCACGGCUAACUACGUGCCAGCAGCCGCGGUAAUACGUAGGUGGCAAGCGUUAUCCGGAAUUAUUGGGCGUAAAGCGCGCGUAGCGGUUUUUUAAGUCUGAUGUGAAAGCCCACGGCUCAACCGUGGAGGGUCAUUGGAAACUGGAAAACUUGAGUGCAGAAGAGGAAAGUGGAAUUCCAUGUGUAGCGGUGAAAUGCGCAGAGAUAUGGAGGAACACCAGUGGCGAAGGCGACUUUCUGGUCUGUAACUGACGCUGAUGUGCGAAAGCGUGGGGAUCAAACAGGAUUAGAUACCCUGGUAGUCCACGCCGUAAACGAUGAGUGCUAAGUGUUAGGGGGUUUCCGCCCCUUAGUGCUGCAGCUAACGCAUUAAGCACUCCGCCUGGGGAGUACGACCGCAAGGUUGAAACUCAAAGGAAUUGACGGGGACCCGCACAAGCGGUGGAGCAUGUGGUUUAAUUCGAAGCAACGCGAAGAACCUUACCAAAUCUUGACAUCCUUUGACAACUCUAGAGAUAGAGCCUUCCCCUUCGGGGGACAAAGUGACAGGUGGUGCAUGGUUGUCGUCAGCUCGUGUCGUGAGAUGUUGGGUUAAGCCCCGCAACGAGCGCAACCCUUAAGCUUAGUUGCCAUCAUUAAGUUGGGCACUCUAAGUUGACUGCCGGUGACAAACCGGAGGAAGGUGGGGAUGACGUCAAAUCAUCAUGCCCCUUAUGAUUUGGGCUACACACGUGCUACAAUGGACAAUACAAAGGGCAGCGAAACCGCGAGGUCAAGCAAAUCCCAUAAAGUUGUUCUCAGUUCGGAUUGUAGUCUGCAACUCGACUACAUGAAGCUGGAAUCGCUAGUAAUCGUAGAUCAGCAUGCUACGGUGAAUACGUCCCCGGGUCU
rnacentral:rRNA from 1 species